CUCUUUUCAGACUCAGCCCAUCUGCACCCAGGUGAAAUAAACAGCCUUAUUGCUCACACAAAGCCUGUUUGGUGGUCUCUUCACAUGGACGCGAGUGAAAUUUGGUGCCGUGACUCAGAUCGGGGGACCUCCCUUGGGAGAUCAAUCCCCUGUCCUCCUGCUCUUUGCUCCAUGAGAAAGAUCCACCUACGACCUCAGGUCCUCAGACCAACCAGCCCAAGGAACAUCUCACCAAUUUUAAAUCUGCCUGUGAAUUCACAUCAUGGGGAACCUGCUACUCUGUCUGGAGUCUGUAACAGGAGGGCUGAAAGCUGUGGUUGGUGUGCAUCCAGAAGAAUAUAGAAAUAUCGAAGGGGAAAAGCCCUUGGGCACAGAGCUCUGAAAACAAUAAAAAGAUGGCUAAAUGCUCCCAUUCAUUUCC
rnacentral:lncRNA from 10 species